UUGGGGUUGUAGGACACUCUAUACGGAGUUACAAAGAAACGAAGUAGACGAAGCGAUCUGGAAAGGUCCGCGAAACAAGGUAACAGCCCUGUAAUCGAAACUUCGUGGAUUGUAGGCUGCAACUCGCCUCGCCUACAUGAAGCCGGAAUUGCUAGUAAUCGCGGAUCAGCAUGCCGCGGUGAAUACGUUCCCGGGCCUUGUACACACCGCCCGUCACACCACGAGAGUUUGUAACACCCGAAGUCGGUGGGGUAACCUUUUGGAGCCAGCCGCCUAAGGUGGGACAGAUGAUUGGGGUGAAGUCGUAACAAGGUAGCCGUAUCGGAAGGUGCGGCUG
rnacentral:ncRNA from 1 species